rnacentral:rRNA from 1 species
CCUACGGGAGGCAGCAGUGGGGGAUAUUGCACAAUGGGGGAAACCCUGAUGCAGCGACGCCGCGUGAGUGAAGAAGUAUUUCGGUACGUAAAGCUCUAUCAGCAGGGAAGAAAAUGACGGUACCUGACGAAGAAGCCCCGGCUAACUACGUGCCAGCAGCCGCGGUAAUACGUAGGGGGCAAGCGUUAUCCGGAUUUACUGGGUGUAAAGGGGGCGUAGACGGCGAUGCAAGCCUGGAGUGAAAGCCCGGGGCCCAACCCCGGGACGGCUCUUGAAACUGCGUGGCUGGAGUGCAGGAGGGGCAAGCGGAAUGCCUAGUGGAGCGGUGAAAUGCGUAGAUAUCAGGAGGAACACCAGUGGCGAAGGCGGCCGGCUGGACUGCAACUGACGUUGAGGCCCGAAAGCGUGGGGAGCAAACAGGACUAGAUACCCUUGUAGUC